rnacentral:lncRNA from 1 species
UCAACUGGUGCCCGGGUGCCUGAUUCAAUGACCAUAAUAUUCUAUUAAUACAAUAUAGUAUUAUAUUAAAAACCCUACCCCCGGUUCCUAAAAGUACGUGCGUCAAUUUAAAGUGAUCCCUAUGCCCAUAACAGCUUUCCUUCCACGUGGGAUAGUUUAGCUAUAUCUUGGGACUCAAAUAGCGCUAAAGUCCAAAAAGUCAAUCCGGGACCCCACGGUCCAUGACCUCACAAUAUGAUCCAGAAGCCGCUAGAAGGUCCAAUAUAUCUAGGACACAUGUCCCGAGGGUAUUGGUGUCGAUCGGACGGUCGGAUUAAUCACGAUCGUGUAAUCGCAUAAUUUCUAAACCCUAGCCCUAGGGUUCACGAUUUCGGAGUAUCCGGGACUCCGAUUCACGAUCCGUCGAAU